GUGCUCGCUUCAGCAGCACAUAUACUAAAAUUGGAACAAUACAGAGAAGAUUAGUAUGGCCCCUGCACAAGGGUGACACAUACAAAUUCAUGAAGCGUUCCACAUUUUU
ensembl:snRNA RNU6-468P RNA, U6 small nuclear 468, pseudogene